AUAUCUCUUUUUUUAUUUAAAUUAUAAUAUUUUAAUAUAAAUAAUUUUCAUCCUUUUUAGUAGAUAUCAUUAAUUAGUCAUUCGUAUAAUUUAUUACCAUCAUCAUCCAUCUGUUAAUUAACAAACAUUUGUAGAUAUAAAUAUCAUCAAAGAACCGGUGCAUAAAGUUAUUAAAAGAUUCAUAAAGUUAUUAAAAGUUACCCUUGAACUUUCGCAAAUGAAACAUUUAAAUUUCGAUCAGAUGACGCGUCACAUCUUUCAUUAUGAAACUCGGUAGUAAUAUCAAAUGGUUUUCAAGCAGAUUUAUUCAGUCAUCGAAAUAUUUCAACCAUAUCAAGGAACGUCCUCGCAUAACCGAUAAAAUAAUAAUUGAACAAUUUAUAAUCAAUUAACAUUUAACAAUUAACAAAUAAUACAAGUUGUAUAAUAAAAUAUAAUAUCAAAUAACAAAAUAGUUUCACGGUUUAAUUAAAAAAUCGAUGAAAGGAUAUUGGAUUCGGAUUCCGUCCACGGGCGAUCUAUUGUUCAUUUGGUCGAAUUCUUUCUAUAACCGGUCUGGCAAAAGUGAACCGGUUUCUUGUGUAGCAAGCCACGUAAUACGGGGCGCGAUUACGAGAGGCCACAUCGUGACAUUGGGCGCGGUACUUUGACGGCCGCGGCAGCGGUUCUGGCUUAUUUGGUGAAAGUUGAACAAUAUGAACAGAAGAGUGGUGGCGGGUGCAUAAGUGAGACCUUCAAUAGAUGCGUAAGCUAAAGGUGAUGAGUAAGCAGUUGUGUACGCAUAGACAUUAGGAUAAGAGGUAAAAGUGGUAACAGUUUUAGUUGCUGGCAAGCUUACUAAUCUCGCCGCUUGUGGAACUUUUGCUGGCAAUUGUACCGGAGUAACAAGAGUUUUCACUGGUGUAGCAGUCUGUUUCUGCUGUUGUGAUUGUUGUCGUUGCAAUGAUUGUUGCUUUUGAUGUUCUUGUUGCUGUCCCUGUUCUUGUUGUAUCCUUUGCUGUUGCUGAAUUUGCUGUUGGAAUCGCAAUCUGGAUUGUUGUUGAAACUGUUGCAAUUGUUGCAAUUGUUUCUGUUGCUGUUCUUGUUGUUGCCUUUCAAGCUCCUUCAAUUGCUGCAAUUGUUGUUCUUGUUGUUGUCGAAGCUGCUCGUCAUGAGCAAUUGGACUGUUGGAUGCAACCAGAGGACCGGAUCUAGCCUCAACUACUUCAACAUCAGAAUCUGGACCGCUAGCUGGAAUAGCUGGUGCAGGUGCUGCAGGCAAAACAGGUGUAGCUGCUGCGGCAGGCGCGAUGGCUGGUGCGUAUGGUAGCAAUGGAGCUGCAAUGGCUGCUACAGCAGUUGCUGGUUCUCGGCUUACCACUGCGUUAAAGCCAUUUAUUGGAUCCGCUGUAUACUCGACUAUGCGUCGAGUACCGUCUGCCUCAAUCAAGCUGUAGCUACCCUGUACCAAAUCGCCAUUUCUAGUUUCAUAUUGGGCUUUAGAGUCCCCGGUUACGGCAUCUUGGACGUCAUACGCGAAGCUGUAGUGGGGUGUCGAAUCUAAUUCCUCGAGUUUUGCUGUCACUAUAGAUGCCGGUACUGCCGGUAUCGCUGGUACCACCGCCCCUUUUGAAAACACUGCUACGCUUAAGAGUACGAUGAGCUAAAUAUAAAAAAAAAAUUUUUUCAGAAAAUAAUUAUUUAAUUCAAGAAAGUACGAAAUUCUAUACAAUUUUUUAUAUAUAUAUAUGUUUCUUUUAUAUUCAAAGUCAAUUUUAAUUAUUCUAAAAUUUUUUUCGUUUUUUUUUUGUCCGAAUCUUUAUGUACCUGUAUGUAAUAUCGAUAAUAAUCAUAAAAUUUUUUAUAAUAGAAGAGACAGAUUUAUGUUACUAUUAUGUAAUUUUAUCAGAAGUCAAUAUGAUUAAUAUUUAGUGAUAUAUGUUUUAUGCUAACUUGAUGCACAACUUGUUAAUCAAUAAACUAAUUAAUAUUUAACAAUCUAACAAAUAUAUAUUAGAUAAUAAUAUAUAAUUUGAUGAAACUACAAUAUUUGUGAAAUUUUUAAGUAUUUCAACAAAAUAUAUUUGAAAUUUUCGAUUUUGAUAAUUAUAAUUGUCCUGAAAACAACCAAAGAAUAAUAAUAAAAAUGAAAAUUAAUAAUAGAUAUUGCAGAAAAAAAAGGAAAAAUACAAUAUAUUUUAAAUGUAAACAAAUAUAUAAAAAAAGAAAGAAAAAUAAUAAAUUAGUAAAUAAUAUAAUUAAUAAAUAAUAUAAUUCUUAACUGAUAAAACUAAUUAAAAUGAUCUUUAUAUUAAAUCUAUGUUUAUCGAUUUCUAGCAAAGAACUUCUUACCUUUCCAGCCAUGUUUGUUUGCAAGAAGAUCGUCAGAAGACUGAUGCCUUAGGGUAAAAUUCGUCGUACUUUUAUACGCCUGAUGACUGUCGCUGUUUUCGUGUCAUCCGUUAACAAUAAUCGAGCUAUUCCUUGCACCCAAACUCACAUCGAAACACCUGUCUUACACACAGCGUCCCCACUUAAUCUCUCCUUCUUUUAUUUAGCCUACCUAUUACUCUCUUUCUUUUGCCAUUCGAUGACCUCCUCAUAAAUGUUACAAUAUAUUGAAUACACGCGACUUGUAUGCCAAUAUGUCGAAGAUACGAAGUCUCGAGGUCAUACGACGAAACCGCGAACGCAAACUGUGAACUCUACUCUAACCUCCCUUGUGAUGAAAGGUGCAUACUUCCAAAAGUUUACAAUAUUGCGUGAUUGUUAUCGAUUAGCAUUUAUGUCGCAGCUGCGACAUAUUGAACUAAGGCUAACAGGCCAAAAGGGUUUCUUAAUAAGAAGAAUUAUUAUUCUUCUAUUUGAAUAAAUGUUUAAAAAAUUUUUAUAAUA